AUGAACCGACCCCAAUGGAACUCAGCAGACAGGAGGCAAUGCUGGAUGGCAUCAGCCGGCCAGCGAGAUUGUUUUGAGGGCUCUCGCCUUGUGGUGUUCCGGGGGACCAGGGGAGGUCGUUCCGGAGUGAGCGGGCGAGAGGAGCCCCAGAGGUCCCCACCUACCCAGCUGCCCACGGUCCCAGAGGGUCGUGUCCUGGCCGUGGCAACCCUGGGGGAUCAGGCAAGUCCCCCCCAGAGUCCUGAGGCACCACCCACUACCUUCAGUCUCCCCAACAAGCGAGGGAGACGGUUUUCAUGGGAGUCGGCUUCAGAGUCUUCGGCGUCCGAGUCUGCCCUGUCCGAGGCCAAACUCCCCCAACCCGCCUCUGACCCAGCUGUAGCCUCUGCACCGCGCCCGAGGAGGAAGAGGAAGAAGAAGGGGCCUGCCGGUCCUGUGACCCUGUCUCCUCCCGAGCCAGCAGCGGUGAGCGCUGGCGUGCCCGUGCCAGCAGCGGUGAGCGCUGGCGUGCCCGUGCCAGCAGCGGUGAGCGCUGGCGUGCCCGUGCCAGCAGCGGAGAGAGCUGGCGUGCCCGAGCCAGCAGCGGUGGGCGUGCCCGAGCCAGCAGCGGUGGGCGUGCCCGAGCCAGCAGCGGUGAGCGUGCCCGAGCCAGCAGCGGUGGGCGUGCCCGAGCCAGCAGCGGUGGGCGUGCCCGAGCCAGCAGCGGUGAGCGUGCCCGAGCCGGCAAAGAAGAGAGCUGCAGUCGUGAGAGCGGAGGAGAGAGCCGCGGCCGACUCUGCAGCAAAGACUCUUGUACAGUCGGUCUCUUCUCAUAAGGAGAUGCCUAUUAUCCUUGCUGCUAAAGCCUUUUCUGAUUAUUUGUCCCGUCUUGUCCAAAUUUUAGAAGUCCCCGUCAGUCCUGUUUUGUCCCCUGACCCUGUCCCCAGAAGUCCUAAGUGUCCAGCCGUUGUCUCCCCGUGUCCAGCCGUUGUCUCCCCGUGUCCCGUUGAUGUGUCCCCGUGUCCCGUUGAUGUGUCCCCGUGUCCCGUUGAUGUGGCCCCGUGUCCUGUUGAUGUGGCCCCGUGUCCCGUUAAUGUUGCCCCGUGUCCUGUUGUCCCCCCGUGUCCAGUAGAUGUUGUCCCCCCGUGUCCAGUAGAUGUCGUCUCCCCGCGUCCCGUAAGUGUUGCCCCGCGUCCCGUAAGUGUUGCCCCGCGUCCCUUGUCUGCUCCCGUCAUGCCCCCGGUCAGUUGUUCCGAGACCCCUCCCCGCCCCUCACCACCCAGACCUGCCCGUACCCCCCGUCGUCAGCCUUUGUCCUGUCCUCUUAAGAUUCCUACCCCACCCACCCGCCCUGGUCUGUCCCCCAUGAACUUUGUGGUCCCGCCCCCUCCCCUUCCCUGUUUGUUUUUUUUUAUUUGUCACCCCAACCCUGCCAUUGUGUACUCAUGUUUGCCUUUGUUGUUAUUUGUCAUGUCCUGUUGGUUUGUAUCUGUGUCCCAGUCUGUCAUGUCAGUCGUGUCCCGUGUUUGA
rnacentral:lncRNA from 1 species